CUUUCCAGAAUUACCUUGGACUAAUCCAGAACAGAGGUCGGUCGUGCUAGUUUGUCAUACUGCUUCAAAGUAGACUGUCCCUGCUUCAAAGCCUUGACAAGCAAACUGUUACCUCUGAACAGACCUGGACAUCUUAAAAACUGUGUUGUUUUGACUUGCUGAACGAAUUGCAGUUCAUGUUGGAUCUCAGAGUAUUUCUUCUGCUUCUGGACUAGGUAAUUCCCAACUCCACCAAGUGCUUCCAAGAUGGCUGCUGGCACACACAGCAGUGCGAACCCACGUUUGCAUGGUGUCAGCACUCAGUUAAUAUUCUUGUGGAAAAGUGGUGACUUAUGUAAGUGCUUGUAGGAAUCAAAGAAAACGACUGACACAUAGCCUUUAAACAAGUUUACUCCUUGCAUGCGUACAGUGUUUGAGAACAAUCCUCUGUAAAAACAAUCCCCUGUGAAAUAGGUUUCUGUAUAAAUUGCUCUAAAGGUUUACAGAAUAAGACUAGGGAACAAUGUCUUUCCUGUGGGUUUCUCAUUUGUGACAGCAAUUCAGUAGCUGGGUAAUAAUUACUGUAUUCUGUAAGAUCAUUUAGCUGAAAAUACCUAGGAAAAAAUGCAGUUAUUUUUAUUAACUUGCACAGGACUUUUCCAUAAGGGAUUUAAUAUGGGGCUCUCUUUACUCAGCCCUGAAGCUUGGGUUUUAGCUGCAUUUAUCCUUUUCUCCCUCCUCAGUUUGCAGCCUCCCACCUUUCCAGUAGGUUGCCUUCUGUGUAUUUCAUUGCUGCUGCUCCUGCCUCACCCACCUUCAGGAGGCUGGUUCAGUCAGCUCCUGUACUGCUGCCACCCUGGAUCUUUAUAAACUCUCUUUCCCCAUCAUGUCUUAUCCCAUUUCUUUUUUCUUCCAAGGAAUUGAUCUUGCAUCAUAGAGGGGUCUCUAAGAAUAUAAGGAUGAUGAGUGAGAUAAGGUGAUUUAUGAGGCAAAAAAGUGCGACCAGAUAAAAGAUGAGUCAGUCAUUGCUGAAAUGUAGCAGACAGAUCUGGAAAGAAUAAGUGUUUGUUUUUAAGCUGUAUUUAAUAAAAAAAAAAAAAAAAAAAAAAAAAAAAAAAAA